rnacentral:rRNA from 1 species
GACGAACGCUGGCGGCGUGCUUAACACAUGCAAGUCGAGCGGUAAGGCCCUUUCGGGGGUACACGAGCGGCGAACGGGUGAGUAACACGUGGGUGACCUGCCCUCAGCUCUGGGAUAAGCCUGGGAAACUGGGUCUAAUACUGGAUAUGACUCCACGGUGCAUGUCGUGGGGUGGAAAGCCUUGUGCGGCUGAGGAUGGGCCCGCGGCCUAUCAGCUUGUUGGUGGGGUGANGGCCUACCAAGGCGACGACGGGUAGCCGGCCUGAGAGGCGACCGGCCACACUGGGACUGAGACACGGCCCAGACUCCUACGGGAGCAGCAGUGGGAAUCUUGCGCAAUGGGCGAAAGCCUGACGCAGCGACGCCGCGUGAGGGAU